rnacentral:lncRNA from 1 species
AAAGACCGGACCGCUACGAUCCACCCCCUCCCUGCCCCCACCACCCAUCCUAAAGCACCUUAUAUCGCGGAAACCACUCAGCCUCCUCUUUCCUCCGAGAACAAGCGGAGCAGCCCCUGAAAACGCUUUGGUCCUCUGCAGGGGGAGCGCUCUGGGGUCUCCGCACAAAACCUGCUUUUGAGCCCUUUGGCUUUCUUCAAGCGAGCGCAGUCCGUCCAUCCCCCCUGGCCCACCCAGCCGCAAGGGAUGCUGUGAAAAGAGCCGCUGCUUGCCGCCUCCGGCCUGCCGUCCAGAGGGCUCCGCCCGUAGAGGUCAACUCCCCUCAUUCUUCUUCUUUCCAUCUUGCCCUCCCUCCGCCGAGCCCAGACUCGGAUCUCCUCCUGACUCCCGCCGCAGUCAGAGAGAGCGCAUCUGCUGCGCUGCCCUUAAAUCUACGCCCAGAGCGGGCUCAGACCGAUCUCUGCUCUCCAGAGCCGGAGGAAGCCCGAGCAAGCAGCCUUUUCUCUUCGCAGUAAAAUCAUAGCCAGACCAGAUGGGCCCCAGCUCUCCCGGGACUCGGCAGGCUUAUAUGGAAUAAAAUAAUGUAUAACUGUAUUACUUCAGCACCAUGAAUUUAGAAGUUCCAGCAUAUUGUGAAGCAGACACAUCUUUGCUAUGAAAACUGACUCA